AGCCGGACUUCAAACAGAGAUAAUCGUUCCGGCUAGUUGAUCCAUUUUCUAUAUCCAUUUCCUCUUACGCUGUUGGAUUUUUCAAGGUUUUCGGCCGUUUGUUUCCGGGUACGUCAUUAACGGAGGGGGCGAUCCAAUAGCACGGUUGGACAGCAGCGCGUAUAUAUUGCAACAUGAUUUAGGAUCAUUGAUUUUCAAGGGUCAGUUGCCUGAAAACUAUGCAGACCGGUUAAUCACCGUAUUAAAAUGGUAAUCGCGCCGAUCUGCAUAUAGCCAUCUCAUUAUAUGCAACUCCUCCAGCAGGCCCUUUUGUUUUCUGUGUGUGUUGACCUUUCAAAAUAAUGUAGAUACAUAUGUGUUUAUUUCUCUUCGAAAGAUGUUGCAUCUCCUCUUCUUGCUGGAAAUGGCAUUAUCUAUAUGACACUACAACUAUACGUUGAUACUUUGGGCUAACAAAUGGGAACGUUACAAAAAGGAAUGACAUUGCCAAUUCGGUUGGUGCGAUAUUUCAGGUGCUGUCACAAUUUUGUUCUUUCCUUUGGUGUACACGAAGAGAAGAACAAAAGAUGGGGCCAAUUGAUUUGAACAGCCCAGUCAAAUAGAAAAAUCACACACGUUCUUCUCGCCCCCCCAAAAAAGGACCCAAAAUGCUUCUCUCUAGAACUAUAUGUACAGACCCUAAAAUAGGCCUUCGUCGUGUUCCAAACACGUCUCCAGUUUGGAUGCACACACGAUCACAAGUCGAGAUAGGCGCAUUGUUCCAAAUCACACCUGUCCGAGCAAGUGAACAACUG